GUGGGGAAUCUUGCGCAAUGGGCGAAAGCCUGACGCAGCCAUGCCGCGUGAAUGAUGAAGGUCUUAGGAUUGUAAAAUUCUUUCACCGGGGACGAUAAUGACGGUACCCGGAGAAGAAGCUCCGGCUAACUUCGUGCCAGCAGCCGCGGUAAUACGAAGGGGGCUAGCGUUGCUCGGAAUUACUGGGCGUAAAGGGCGCGUAGGCGGACAGCUUAGUCAGAGGUGAAAGCCCAGGGCUUAACCUUGGAAUUGCCUUUGAUACUGGCUGUCUUGAGUGGGGGAGAGGUGAGUGGAACUCCGAGUGUAGAGGUGAAAUUCGUAGAUAUUCGGAAGAACACCAGUGGCGAAGGCGACUCACUGGCCCAAUACUGACGCUGAGGCGCGAAAGCGUGGGGAGCAAACAGGAUUAGAUACCCGAGUAGUCC
rnacentral:rRNA from 1 species